rnacentral:rRNA from 1 species
GACGAACGCUGGCGGCGUGCUUAACACAUGCGAGUCGAACGGAAAGGCCCUGCUUUUGUGGGGUGCUCGAGUGGCGAACGGGUGAGUAACACGUGAGUAACCUGCCCUUGACUUUGGGAUAACUUCAGGAAACUGGGGCUAAUACCGGAUAGGAGCUCCUGCUGCAUGGUGGGGGUUGGAAAGUUUCGGCGGUUGGGGAUGGACUCGCGGCUUAUCAGCUUGUUGGUGGGGUAGUGGCUUACCAAGGCUUUGACGGGUAGCCGGCCUGAGAGGGUGACCGGCCACAUUGGGACUGAGAUACGGCCCAGACUCCUACGGGGGGCAGGAGUGGGGAAUAGUGCACAAUGGGCGGAAGCCUGAUGCAGCAACGCCGCGUGCGGGAUGACGGUCUUCGGGGUGUAAACCGCUUUCGCCUGUGACGAAGCGUGAGUGACGGUAAUGGGUAAAGAAGCACCGGCUAACUACGUG